rnacentral:rRNA from 1 species
AUUGAACGCUGGCGGCAGGCCUAACACAUGCAAGUCGAGCGGAGGAAGGGAGCUUGCUUUUGGAUUCAGCGGCGGACGGGUGAGUAAUGCCUAGGAAUAUGCCUGGUAGUGGGGGAUAACGACCGGUAACGGGGGUUAAUACCGCAUCCGUACUGUGGGAGUAAGUGGGGGAUUUUUGGACCUCACGCUUUCAGAUAAGACUAGGUCGGAUUAGGUAGUGUGUGGGGUAAAGGCCUACCAAGGCGUACAUCCGUAACUGGUCUGAGGGGAUGAUCAGUGACACUGGAACUAGGACACGGUCCAGACUCCUACGGGAGGAGCCGGUGGGAAUUAUUGGACAUGGGGCGAAGUCCUAAUCCACCCAUGCCGCGUGUGUGAAGAAGUUCUUCGGAUUGAAAAGCACUUUAAGUGGGGAGGAAGGGCAGUAAGUUAAUACCUUGCUGUUUUGACGUUACCAACAGAAUAAGCACCGGCUAACUACGUG